UACGUAGGGUGCAAGCGUUAAUCGGAAUUACUGGGCGUAAAGCGUGCGCAGGCGGUUUUGUAAGUCAGAUGUGAAAUCCCCGGGCUUAACCUGGGAACUGCGUUUGAAACUACAAGGCUAGAGUGUGGCAGAGGGGGGUGGAAUUCCACGUGUAGCAGUGAAAUGCGUAGAGAUCGGGAAGAACGCCGGCGGCGAAAGCGACUCUCUGGUCGGACCCUGACGCUGAGGCGCGAAAGCUAGGGGAGCAAACGGG
rnacentral:rRNA from 1 species